rnacentral:rRNA from 1 species
UACGAAGGGGGCUAGCGUUGCUCGGAAUUACUGGGCGUAAAGCGCACGUAGGCGGCUCUUUAAGUCGGGGGUGAAAUCCUGGAGCUCAACUCCAGAACUGCCUUCGAUACUGAAGAGCUCGAGUCCGGGAGAGGUGAGUGGAACUGCGAGUGUAGAGGUGAAAUUCGUAGAUAUUCGCAAGAACACCAGUGGCGAAGGCGGCUCACUGGCCCGGUACUGACGCUGAGGUGCGAAAGCGUGGGGAGCAAACGGG